rnacentral:misc_RNA from 1 species
AGCUCUUGCAUUGCUGAAUUUUUUUUUUUUUUUUUUUUUUAAAAAAAAAAAAAAUUUUUUUUUUUCAAGUCAUCAUGGGGCUUAUAGAGUGGGCUACAGGCGUAUUACAUUGGACACCCACAAGUUGCCAAAACUGUCCGAAUAUACGGAUUGGAGUAAAAAAAAAAAAUUUUUUAAAAUUUUUUUUUUUUUUUGCUGAAACUAGCCUCCAUGAAGAAGGAAUCGCGAGUAAUCGUAGAUCAUUAGCGCUACGGUGAAGGUAACCUCUAUUGUGCACACAUUGCCCGUCACCUCCGAUAAUAGUAUUGUACAGGAAGAACUAUGGCUACACUUAGUCGCGGCCUGGAACGUAUGCGUGAUAUUAGAGUUGGAGUAAGUCGUAACAGGUUGGGGUAGGGGAACCUGCUCCAGAGUC